CUCCCCUUCUCCAACAUCUCACUCUCUCGCCACUCUCUGCCGGCGAUUUUGCCGUCGCCGGCGAGCGACGCCGGCCGCCGGUCACGUCUCCCCUCUCCCCUCUUUCUCUAUCUUGGUCUCUCUCUCUCUCUCUCUCGGCCUCUCUCUCUCUUUCGGCCUCUCUCUCUCUGCCGCCACGAACCGCCACCUCCGCCGUCGCCGCCGGGCCGCUGCUGCCGUCACUGGUGGGCCGCUGCCGCCGUCGCCGCCGGGUACACGGCGGUCUCAUCGCCGUUGACCGAGAGAGAUUUGGAUAGAUCGUGAAAAAGGGAUUAAUUUCGUUGUGAAAAGUCGGACAACCGCCGAAAUGUUGCCGGACUGCCGCCGGUCGCCGGAUUGCCGCCGCCGCCGGUGGGCCAUUGCCGGGCAGUAUCCCCGGGGUCCGGCAGCUUCUUCGCUCACGAGGUAUCGAGGUUCAAGGCGGGACUAUUGCGCAAGAUCCGAAGGGCAUGGAGAUUACUUUUAUCUAUUUUUCUUCACUCUAGUCAAACGUUGAACUCGAUGUUGAACAUGUAUGAACUUUUAUUUGAAGCUCGGUCUUUCAUAAACGGACUAUGAGAAUACUAUAGUAUUUUGUAAUAA